rnacentral:rRNA from 1 species
GAGCUUGCUCUUAUGAAGUUAGCGGCGGACGGGUGAGUCACUUCGAGGGUAACCUGCCCAUAAGACUGGGAUAACUCCGGGAAACCGGGGCUAAUACCGGAUAACAUUUUGAACCGCAUGGUUCGAAAUUGAAAGGCGGCUUCGGCUGUCACUUAUGGAUGGACCCGCGUCGCAUUAGCUAGUUGGUGAGGUAACGGCUCACCAAGGCAACGAUGCGUAGCCGACCUGAGAGGGUGAUCGGCCACACUGGGACUGAGACACGGCCCAGACUCCUACGGGAGGCAGCAGUAGGGAAUCUUCCGCAAUGGACGAAAGUCUGACGGAGCAACGCCGCGUGAGUGAUGAAGGCUUUCGGGUCGUAAAACUCUGUUGUUAGGGAAGAACAAGUGCUAGUUGAAUAAGCUGGCACCUUGACGGUACCUAACCAGAAAGCCACGGCUAACUACGUGCCAGCAGCCGCGGUAAUACGUAGGUGGCAAGCGUUAUCCGGAAUUAUUGGGCGUAAAGCGCGCGCAGGUGGUUUCUUAAGUCUGAUGUGAAAGCAGACGGCUCAACCGUGGAGGGUCAUUGGAAACUGGGAGACUUGAGUGCAGAAGAGGAAAGUGGAAUUCCAUGUGUAGCGGUGAAAUGCGUAGAGAUAUGGAGGAACACCAGUGGCGAAGGCGACUUUCUGGUCUGUAACUGACACUGAGGCGCGAAAGCGUGGGGAGCAAACAGGAUUAGAUA